AUGGGUGUCUUCGCCGUGACCAAGGUGUCCGAGGGUCCCGUCCGGCCAUCCGCCGCGACGCCGUCGGAGACGCUGCCACUCGCGUGGGUUGACCGGUACCCGACGCACCGCGGCCUGGUCGAGUCCGUGCACGUGUACCGCGACGCCAUGACCGGGACGGGGGACGCCGGCGCAGAAGAGAAGAAGAGGAAGCCCCCGGCGGCCGUCGUGCGCGGCGCGCUCGCGGACGCGCUGGUGCACUACUACCCUUUCGCGGGCCGAAUCGUGGAAGGCGAGGACACGUGCCGCCCCGCCGUGCUGUGCUCCGCCGAGGGCGUCUACUUCGUCGAGGCCACCGCGAACUGCACGCUCGCCGACGUCAACUUCCUGGAGCGGCCGCUGCUGCUCGGCAAGGACCAGCUCGUGCCGUACCCGACGCCGGAGCUCUGGGCCGUCGAGCCGCAAAACAGCCUUGCCAUGAUACAGGUCACGACGUUUACCUGCGGCGGCUUCGUGAUCGGCCUGCGCACCAACCACGCGGUAGCCGACGGCACGGGCGCUGCCCAGUUCCUGAACGCCGUCGGCGACCUUGCCCGAGGUCUCCCGGAGCCCCGCGUCAAGCCGGUCUGGGGGCGCGACCGCUUCCCUGACCCGCACAUCAAGCCUGGCCCGCUCCCGGAGCUGCCGGUGCUGGCCCUCGAGUACAUCGCGUUCGACUUCCCGGUCGCCUACCUCGACAAGAUCAAGUCGCAGUACUCCGAGUUCACCGGCGGCAAGCACUGCUCCGGCUUCGACAUCGUCAUCGCCAAGCUCUGGCAGUGCCGGACGCGGGCCAUCGGCCCGGUCGUCGUCCCGGGCGCGGACGUCAAGCUCUGCUUCUUCGCCAGCGCCCGCCACGUGCUAAAGCUGGAGCCAGGAUACUGGGGCAACGCCAUCUUCCCGGUGAAGGUGUCAGCGCCGGCGGAGAUGGUCGCCGGCUCGUCGGUGGUCGAGAUUGUCGGGGUGGUCCGCGAAGCCAAGCGGCGCAUGGCGGAGGAAUGUCUGAGCUGGGCCGAGUGCCGCACCGGCGGCCGCGACCCGUUCCAGAUGACGUUCGACUACGAGUCGGUGUACGUGUCGGACUGGAGUAAGCUCGGGUUCUCGGACGUGGACUACGGGUACGGCACGCCCAUGACGGCCGGCCCGCUGGUGAACUGCGACCUCAUCGCAUCAGUCAUCGUCAUGAAGGCGCCGGCGCCGCUCGCCGGCACGCGGCUGCUCGCGAGCUGCGUCACCAAGGAACACGCCGACGACUUCGCUGGUCUGAUGAGGGAGGACCUCGGAUGA
rnacentral:rRNA from 1 species